AUCAUGACUUGUGGGUCUUUAAAAUUAGAUUCAGAGGUGGCCUUUCCCCUGAAGAGGCUGUGCCCUCAAGCUUCUAAGUGCCAACCUUUUCUCUGAGAUGGCUUGUCAGGACAGUCACUGUCUGGGCCACAUCCUUGGGCGGAUGUGACUGGUAGAUUUCAUCAGUGUGGACGGAUUGGAAAGCUCUGUCCAGCCCCAGCUGGUUUCCUGUGGGUCUGCCAGAAGUUCUGGGCAGCCUUAGGUACUGUGCCUGCCCAGAAGUUUCUUCUCGGCUGCCAGGCCAGCUCUGGAGCAAGGGGGAUGCAGCUCAGAGACUGUAGGCAUGUGCAGACCAACUCUCUAUCCUCCCCUCCUGUGAGGGCUAGUCAGUGUGGCAGUUCUCUUUGAACCGCAACUAAUUGCUCCCUGACUGUUCUACUACUCAAUCUCACCCAGGGCCCUCUCCUCACCUCCUGGAAGGAGUGGCCCUUAGCAAGCGUCCUUCGUGGCUGCCUCUCAGUUUCAAAUGAGGAGGAAAAUAUCCAUGGGCCCCAAGACUCAGAACCAUAUAGAAUUCCAUAGGUUAGGUAUAAAAUGCCACAGAUUGUCCUAGAAAGAAAUCAUCUGAGAGAAUGCAAGGUUGCCAACUUGCAAGAGGAAUGCUGUCAAGCUGAAUCCACUCAUAGACUGUGACAUCAGAAACACAAUCUCUACUUGGGACAAACGAUUGCUGGGUUUUGGCUCUGAAUGACCAGGUAUCCGUUACCUCGAAUCUAGGAACAGUGCCAGUCUGUGGCUCUUGGGUGAGCCAGAGGGCCAGAUGCAAGCUUGCUCCCUUACUCCCUGCCUCUCAGCCAGCAUCACUGUGUCUGAAGGAUGCUGCUUUACUGUGGCUCUAAAAUGGGAGGGACCCUGGCUCAGCUGUAUAUCCUGUAAUAUCAGGUGGCCCAAGGCUCAAGACCAGAUGAGGGAUAACAGGCCUUCAUACUGUGGGAUGUAUCUGAGUAGCUCACUUUACAGACCGACCUGUGGUUAUAUAGACUCAUGAGAAUGUGCAGGGUAGGAUGUCUACACAAAGGACUGUCAAGCCGUUUGCCUUACACUGCUUGGGAGAUGCAGGCUCAGAACCAAGCAGGGAUGAGUUUGGGUCAGCAGUGGCCUGAGGCCAGCCCAGACUGGAGAAGAAACCUCAUUUCUAACUCUGCCCAUGAUAUCACAGUGGGAGUCAGUAAUCAUUUACACUUUAGGAAAUGGCCAGUGCUUCAAAGUAGGCUCAAUUUUUUUUUUUCUAAGUUAGGUCUGCCACACAGCACUGGUUUGAGUCAACUCCCUAGACCUCAGACGCUAUCUGCAGCUGUGUGAUCUUGGGCAGAUUUCCUGUGCCAGAGUUUGGUUUCCUGCUCUGUAAAGAGGGCAUUCUUAGCCAUCUCCUCCUCAGACUGACUUUGGGUAGUUUGUGGUUUUAUGUCCGUUAUAAUGGCAUAUACCAUCAUCAUCCCUUGGGUGCCCUGAAACAACUGCUUGAUCUGACUGAACAUCCUGCACUUUACCCGGUGGCCCUCAGCUGCCUUUCUAACUUUACCUGUUCAUAUAACCCUUGCCUUAUCUCUACACCCAAGCAGAAACUAGGAGAUCCUGCUCUGAACCUGACCUCCUCACAUGGCGUAGCUCCUGGGCAUACCUACAGACUUGGCCAGUACCAGCCUCUGACCAAGGUUUCUUCUUGUCAUAGCAGGUUCUAGGUUUUAGCUGCAAAUAUCAAAUCUUCACUUCCCUGUGACCUAGCUAGCACAGUGGGCAGAAGCAGGAUACAGUCAUCUUGGAGACCCACGAGAGAUGUGUUCCUGCUUUGGACCCGGAUCUGCACCUUGGGUGGUAGGUGAGUUUAAGCCAACAGGCAUCCUUUGCUAGUUGGUGUGAGCUGGUCAGAGGGACAGCCAGGAGGAGCUCCUUUCCUGCCCAGGUCCCCAGAGCUGCCUCAGCAUCCUCUUCCACCCACACCCUCAGGCAGCUGAGGCGGAGGCUGAGCAGGCAGGUGAAGGAAUACUCGAUCCCUAGAGGCUUCCGGAGGGGAGGCUGGGAAAGAUCCUGAGAGUUGAUUUGAAGACCCCAGAAUAAAUGUUUCGUGUUGCUUUAAGAUCGAGCAGGCCUUCAGAACGCGCCAGGAUGUCUCUUCAGCUUUUGGAAGGCACCAGUAGGAGGAAACCAAAGUACAUGUGGAGACUGGAAACUGGCCCCGGGUCACACAAUCAAUGAGAACUGAGAGUCAAGCUAUGACAAG